UGUUGCUGAAAUUUCUCAACAAAGUCUCUACUAAUGUGCUUUCUCAUCGAUGUUUUCUAUGCACAAGUUCCCCGUGAUUACCAGCACCCUGUCAGUAUAGAACAGCCUGUUUCUUUGCUUUUCUCUGGUAAAGCAAAGCAGCAAGCCAAUUACUGAGAUCAUUCAGAUGAAAAUUUUACUUUUGCCUGAAUUAGCCAGAGAAUUGAAGCAUAAAUGGACCUUUUCACUUGACUGAUUGAGAUAAUUGCCUCACUUUUCUAGGGGAGACCUAUAGCUGGGAGGCUGUAUUUGGUCACCAAAACAUGUUUGUAAUAUACAUUAUUGACUUUCUUGAAACAACUCUGGUUGGCUAGGUGCCACACUCAAACACUUGCCCUCAUCUUUUUAGGUAUUUGAAACAAUACAGAGAAAUACCAUGCCUCGGAAACUCAGUGUUGAAUUAUUUCAUUCUUGGGCAGCCUUUAAACACAUCAGCUCAGGCCUCCAGAAGAGGGAACAUCUAUUCUUUCAUUUAAACUGGAGUCUCGCCUUCUCCACAAAGACACAGGGAGAGGAAAAUAAUUGACAAGAAUAGGAAGUGAAGAAUUUAUGAUUCUCAAUAAAACUACCUGGCAUCUGAACUCCCUUUCUGUGCCUGUGAAAUUUCCACCUUCAACUGCAGAAGCUGCAAAGCCAGAUACUUGCUUUCAUAGCCUCCAUUACUUUGAGGGUAGGGCACAUGAAUAGGCUCAGUUACUCUGACUUCAGCUUGGAUAUUGACUUGGGAACUAGUGAGAAAAGAAGCACUCAGUGGAGAAUUAGUUCUGGCAGCAAUAGUAGCAGUUACCUCGAGGAUCUGGUCACAGUUAUAGCAGGGGGGUCAUCCAGUAGCCAAUGUCAGCAGCAAACAAUGCCAAUGCCAAUGCUAGAGAAAUGAGAGGUACAAACCAUUCAUCUAGCAUUUGCUGGCAUCAGAAAAAAUAUCCUCACUAGUCAAGUUCUGCAGCAUAAUUUUAGCUUCAAAGCUAUGCACUUUGUUUUAUCCUGCCUGCCCAUUUUUUAAGCCUUUUCUCUAGUGUUCCAAAUGACUCUGUGAACUACUCAAUAUCCUUUCAACAAACUUCUUUUCCACUUGAAUCAUCCAGAGUUAAUUUCUAUUGCUGGCAAUACUAACUCUGAUGGAAAAAUAAAAUAAUAAAUGCACUCUAACACAGAAUAACAGAAAUAAUGCUCCACCUAGUUAACAAGGAUUUUACAAACAAGUAGAAGUUAUUUGGUCUUCUUUUUAAAAAUACGUUCUUAAAAAUAACAUUUUUGACACCAUGAAUUCCACCUGUGUUUUCAAACUAUUUUUCACUAUUAACAUUAUGUUUUAAAGGAGAUACGUUUUCAAAAGAUCCACUGGAAAAAAUUAGACUUCUCCUAUAAUAAUUUACACAGUGAGUGGCUGAGAUUCUAAAGGAAUAUCAUAAAAUUAUGAUAAUAUUAAAUAAAAGCAAAUACUCUCAUAACUUUCAAGGAAACAUGCGAUGACUGAUGUAGUAUCAAAGGGAUAUGUUUUGGAAGAUGCUCUCUUCUAUGUGACUGAAAAUAUGGGGACAUGCUAUACAUUCUAUUUUUUCUUAUUGAU
rnacentral:lncRNA from 10 species